CGCCGCCGCAGCCUUCUAGUGUUUUCCUCCGACGCUUCGCGUUCCUUAGCAACGCUCCCGGAAGUGAUUGGAAACCGUCGGCGGGAGGCGAGAAACCGAUUCCGGGGGGGGUACAGGGGGCGGGGCUGGGGCGGAGUCGUGUCCGGGAAGGGACGGUUUGGCCUUUACUGGGGGCGGGCGGAGCAGAGGCCGCGGCUGGGCGGGGAGCAAAGGGCGAUGCCACUGUACCAUAUUACUUCAGGCUCACAACCAUCUGUUGUACUUCCCUAUGACAUAGACAUUAAAAUCUAA
rnacentral:lncRNA from 1 species